CUCCCCACCCCCGUGCUGGCUUUGAUGGACGAAUGGAUGGAUGGGUAGAAGGAUGACCAUUCUUACUUUCUGUUCAUUCGAGCAGUUCAGGAUAAAAACGAGUUAUACAUAUUAUUUUACUUUACUUUGUCUCUAACAAGCUGUGAAACUUAUUUCAAGCUAUACCAGAGAUGUUUGAUAAUAUAUAUACUCGUUCUUUCU
rnacentral:lncRNA from 1 species